rnacentral:lncRNA from 11 species
UGGCUCGUUGUCUUUUUCAGCCGUUUACGUCCUAUAGAUAUUUACUAAAAUACUGGAAUAUCAUUAGCUAAUCCUAUUAUAUUCGUCUUUUUAUCGGUACUUUUAACAUAGUUUGGCGGUCUAUCUAUCACGCCGCUAACUGUUGCCGUUGUGCGUCGCAUCGAGCAUCACCGAGAAUAAGAAAAAAGAAUCGAUUUAAUCGUGACCUUUUGCUUUAUAAUUUUUUGCUUCUUGCCAAUUACUAGCCGACUCUUAAUCCGUUGAUUAGGCCUGCGAAAGAAAUCGACUAGACGCAAGAGAUCCGCCUUUCUUCCGACUCGUCGCCGCACAAUUCCGUUGUAACAACGAGCAGCGUCAUUCCAGCUUGGCCUACCCAAUUGGAUUCACUUUCUCAGCGAGUAAUUACGAUCAUCUCGUCUUUUUUCUUAGAUGGUACGAUAUCAAAGAGGACCUUGUGGUCCAUUUAUUAUUCUACGGGAAAGCGAAAAUGAACCUUGGAUAUAGAGAUGUGGUGUUACAAAUUCACGCGGAUACCCUACGGACCCCACUUGAAGAGGGCUGUUCAACUUGGAAGAUUCUGCGAGAGCCAGCAAUCACAUCAAGUAGUUGCGCAUCCAUCAAGCAAGCGACCACCUCUGCCACGAGCUGAAGAUGGGGAUGGUAAAAGAUCUGCGGUCACCAACCAUUUGUAAUAGGGGAAAGUGGCAAAUUCCCUGCCAGGGGACUACUGCCGAUGACGUAAUCUGGCUAGCGAUGGUCAUUGAUUAACCUGAGCACAGGGUUAUUCGCGGAUGGCAGGAUCGAGGCAAAAAGGAUACCCCGCAUUACACAGCGUUGGGUGCUAAUUGGAGAUAAUUAACCGGAUCGCCUGAAUAAUGGGGGCCCUGUGAUAAUAGUAUAGAAAGAUCAUUUAAAAAUGCAAAAGGUAGGACUUAGGCUAUAUUACUUUAUGUAUCUAUAUGGUAACACUAUGUGUUCGUGUUGUAAUUUUGCUAUAAUCCUUUAUUGCUCUAGCAUAUAUAUAUAGUUAGAAUUCUUUUCUGUGCACAGAAGGUUUUCGCAGCGAUAAAAACCAGUCAAUGUACGAGGCACUGUCAUUGGCAGAUUAGCUUAUUCAUCAUAGGCGUAACAAUAAUUAGCAACGGGGAGAUUUCGUGAGGAACCAUGCUGACCUGUUUCGCGAUGUCCCGAUCUAAGGGGAUCCACCAAAAAAACUAGUACUUCAUUUUCGCUAAAGGGAAACAUCUAGCGUGAAGAUCGUAACUCUUUGCCUAUUAGACGUUGUCAGUAGUUGUUCUGGCGAGACAACAAGAUAACAAUAACGGGAUGAACGGAACAUUCGAUCGGAGCAUUUGAGCGUGGACGAAACAAUAACA